rnacentral:rRNA from 1 species
UACGGAGGGUGCAAGCGUUAUCCGGAUUCACUGGGUUUAAAGGGUGCGUAGGUGGGCAGGUAAGUCAGUGGUGAAAUCUCCGGGCUUAACCCGGAAACUGCCGUUGAUACUAUUUGUCUUGAAUAUUGUGGAGGUAAGCGGAAUAUGUCAUGUAGCGGUGAAAUGCUUAGAUAUGACAUAGAACACCAAUUGCGAAGGCAGCUUACUACACAAUGAUUGACACUGAGGCACGAAAGCUUGGGGAUCAAACAGG